rnacentral:rRNA from 1 species
GACGAACCGUGCGAACGUUGUUCGGAAUCACUGGGCUUAAAGGGCGCGUAGGCGGCCGCGUAAGUCCGGGGUGAAAUCCCCCAGCCCAACUGGGGAAGUGCCUUGGAUACUGCGUGGCUCGAGCGGGGUAGGGGCAUGUGGAACUUCCGGUGGGGCGGUGAAAUGCGAAGAUAUCGGAAGGAACGCCGGUGGCGAAAGCGACGUGCUGGACCCCCCCUGACGCUGAGGCGCGAAAGCCAGGGGAGCGAACGGG